AACGAACGCUGGCGGCAUGCCUAACACAUGCAAGUCGAACGAGACCUUCGGGUCUAGUGGCGCACGGGUGCGUAACGCGUGGGAACCUGCCCUUAGGUUCGGAAUAACUCCCCGAAAGGGGUGCUAAUACCGGAUAAUGUCUUCGGACCAAAGAUUUAUCGCCUUUGGAUGGGCCCGCGUUGGAUUAGCUAGUUGGUAGGGUAAAAGCCUACCAAGGCGACGAUCCAUAGCUGGUCUGAGAGGAUGAUCAGCCACACUGGGACUGAGACACGGCCCAGACUGCUACGGGAGGCAGCAGAGGGGAAUAUUGGACAAUGGGCGAAAGCCUGAUACAGCAAUGCCGCGUGAGUGAUGAAGGCCUUAGGGUUGUAAAGCUCUUUUACCCGGGAUGAUAAUGACAGUACCGGGAGAAUAAGCACCGGCUAACUCCGUG
rnacentral:rRNA from 1 species